GGCUCUAACCCAAUCAUUUCUCCUUCAAACCUUUUUGCAUUGUCUCACAUAUGAGUUUUAAGGGACACCACAUCUAAACCAUAACAAUUUUGUAAUAGUUUCAAAACAUAAGAGUCAUGGCAGCUAUUCAGAAAUAACGUAAAGGAAACUGCAAAGUGCUUCUUUUAGCUGAGAAGAUGAAAGUUCACAAUUUAAUAAAGAAAGAAAACAUACCAUAUCAUGGUGGCUAUGGUCUACAGAAAAAAGGAAACUUCUAUCUAUUAAAUUGUGAACAAGGAACAAGAAAUCUGUGCUAGUUUUGCUGUCACAACUCAAACUACAAAAGUUAUUGCCCCAUUUUGUGGGGAAUGCUUGGUUAAGAUGCAAAAGGCAUUACAUUUGGGUAUGUAUGUGUAGGAAAAAACAUAGUCUAUGUGAGGUUUGACACUCUCCUGAUGUUAGACAUUCACUGGGAGUUUUGGAACUUCUCCCCCACAGUCAAGGGAAGACAACUGUACAUAUUUUAUAUUUGCUUACUUUUUGGGUUGAUUAAGGCCUGCUAUGUUCGAGACACUUCCACAGUUGCAAUAAGAGAAUCUAAAAAGCAUAAUGGUGGACUUUGAUAAAAAAUGCCUCUCAUCUAAUAGGGAAGGUCAGCAUAUAUGCAGGAAAAUUAGCAGAUACAUUAACAGUAUGGGAUUUUAAUUCCUGGGUGAUAUUUGGGUAAUGAUAUUGAAUCCACAGGAAUGCUAACAAGUUUGGAGAGAAGAAGAGCCCAGGGCGGCCUCUGGCCGUCAGGCUACAUGAGAGAAAUGAACUGGAAGGGCAGCCAGGAUUUGCAUAUAAAGACAACAGCAAGGGUAUGAACCAGGGUUGGGCUAGUCAAGGCUCCCCAUGUUGGAGGACCAGAAGUAAGAGAGCGAUUGUGUCUGGGGGUCUAGGGAAGAUAGAGUGAUUGAUGACAGUGGCUAUAAUUAGUUGAGUGCCUACUAUGCGUAGGCUACUGGAAGUGCCUACGAUCUCUGCUAGGUGCUUCACAGGAGUAAUUGCUUAUAAUUUUCUUAACAAGUUCAUGAGGAAACAGGCUCAGACAAGUGAAAUAGCCUUUCAUUGGCAGUUAUUAAUAGCGAAUUUCAGAGCUUUUAUCAGAUCUCAAUUUUAUUAGAUUCUAAAAUCCUCUUUCAAAUGGUUAGAGGCUGCAUUGUGUUCCUCCCAAAUUCAUGUGUUGAAAUCCUAAUCCCCAGUGCCUCCGCAUAUGACUGUAUUUGGAGAUGGCCUCUAAAGAGUUAAUUAAAUUGAAACCAUUAGGAUAAACCCUCAUUCAAUUAGAUCCAUGACCUUAUAAGAAGAGGACAUUUGGAUACAAGGAGACAUCAGGGACACUCAGGCGUAAAAGAAAGAUCAUGCAAUGGUCCUGUGCAAGCCAAGGAGAGAGGCCUCAGGAGAGCCCAGACCCAUCAACACUUUGAUCCUGGACUUGCAGCCUCAAGACAGUGAGAAAUAAAUUUCUGUCGUUUAAGCACCUUGUCUGUGAUACAGUAUUUAGCUAUGGAACUCCUAGUAAACUGAUAUUAUGUCUCUCAGAAGGGGCUUGUAUCCCAAGCUAUGGAAUUUGGACUUUAUUCUGCAGGUGGGAAGUACUUAUUGUAGAUUUGGUGAGACUUCCAUGGGAGUGGUUUAUAUAUUUUUUUAUUCAUCUACCCAUUCUAGUGAUUAAUUACAGAGUGGCUGUUUGUGACCUCCAUGACUGCAGGGAUCAUAUUUGUCACAUUCACCUCUGAGCACCACUUGCUCCCAGUGCCAAGCACAGCAUCUGGUGUAUAGUAGAUGAUUAACACAUAUUGUUGAAUGGAAGAAAGAAUGUAGGCUACAUACCAGGGAUGAAAAAAAUGAUAAGGCAAUGCAGAGUUUGUUUCCUAGGACUUCACAGUCUGGUGAAGAUGGUAGUCGGUGUACAACUAGUUCCACAAAGGAAUAUGCCUAUGGUGGGGUGGAGAUUAUCAAGCAGUGCCCUGCUACAGAGCUUUACAAAGAAAGAGAUUGUCUAUAACUGUUCUAUAUUAUAUGGCACUGUGACUGUCGAACAUGUGAAAUGUGGCUACUGUGAUGAAGAAAUGGAAUUUAAAUUUUAAUUUCAAAAGGUGCCAUGGCUGGUGGCAAUCAUAUAGCACAUCCAGGCUCGGAGGCAGGGAGAAUGUUGGUUGACUGGGUGCUGGUCUUGGUCUGAGGUGAUAGGGGUGUAAGAAGAGCACAGGAACAAAGAACCUAAUGAGGUACAUUGUCCUACACAGUUUGGCAGCAAUAACACCACCCCCUGGGAGUGUGUAAGAAAUGCAGUCUCCCAGGCUCCACCCUCUCUGCCUGUUCAAAGAAAAUCUUCAUUUUAAUAAGAUUCUCAAGGGACACGUAUGCACACUGGGGCUUGGGUGAGUGCAGUAUAAAAGGCACAGCUGAGAAAGAAUCAAUAGAACCAAGUGUCUGAUAGCAUCCAGGGAUCAAAAGAGCAGAGGAAUAAAACUAGACAACUUGGAUCUGAACUGGACUAAGCUACCCUGAAUCUUCAGGGAUCCAGAGCUCUCCUUCCUUUGGGGAUAGCGUGUCCCUUCGGCUUUCCUCCAUUAGAGCUCUGACCACAUGUGAUGGGAUUUCUAUGGCCUGUCUCUUACCAGCCACCUACAAAUUCCUUGAGAGUGAGGAUCUGGGCUUUUAAAAUCCCUGUACUCCCAGUGUCUGGCAUCCUGCUUUUUGGUUAGCAGAUGUGUCCAGAAUGCAUGCAUUCUCAUGACAAGAAUCAGAAAGCCAGGCGGAGUAAGUAGGUGGUGGAAAGGGAGAGCUGCAGAGUUUAGUUUUAGAUGGGUAGCAUACUAGCUGAAGGCUGGGGGAGGCCCUAAGUUAAUUGUAUGAGAAGAGUCAGGGAUGGAGUUGAGGGAGCUGGGAACAGAGAGGUAGACUUUGGGAUGUCAUCUGUACAGAGAGAAGACAGAAACUCUGAGAAUAGUUUAGAUACCUGGAGAAGGGUGGAGAGGAAAGGGGUAAGAAGGUACUGGGGGUCAUGCUCAUGUCCUGCACAAUGGAGAAGGAGGAGGAUGUGGAAUGGGAGACAGAGAAAUAAAUGGUCAAUAUGGCCAGAGGAUCCUCAACCAGGGUGGCAACAACAUGUGGAAUGGACAUCAACAGUCAGUGUACCAGAUUCAUUCAUUAAUAAUAGAUUUAUUUUGUAGUAUUUAGCUCAUGAAACCUUGUACUCAGUACAGCAGGGGGCCAGAUUAUGAAGCCAUAGAUCCAAAAAAAAUCAAGGAAAAAUGGGCCAAGGAGGGGCAGGAGGACUCCACCUUUGAUCAUGCUGGCAAGUUGUCAUAACUUACUUCCUAGGAUGUGUUAAAUAUAUCUCAUAUUCAUCUUAAAAGAAAAAUAAACGUGCUGUCUGGAAAAGCAGCCGAUAUUCGGUUCUGGGCUUCUUCCAGUGGAUAAAACUUCCCCUUGUCACUUCAGGAUCCAAGUGCGGUUUUUCAUUGAAAUUCAUUGAAUUUGGACUGAAACACCAAUGGUAGCUUCGCCUUUCCUAAAACAAGCUUCCUCUUUCUGGAUUUCCUUUCAUUCACGAGCCCAGGGCAUGUGCCAGAGAGAUAUUUUUUCAUAAUUGGCUGAACAUUUGAUUUUAAUUGAACCGACAAAGGUGCUCCUAAGGGGCGGAGCCUCCACAGCGCCAAGACUCUGGUCACCGUCCAACUGCCUUGAGCUUUCUUACUGCACUUCUAAGAAUAAAUAUUUUUCUUUCAAUUCAGCAAAGGGAGAUGCUAUUGGGAAAGAAAAUAAAAUUCCUUCAUAACUCUAUUGAUAGGAAUCUCAAUUCGGUCUGGUGAAACCUCCAUGCAAAUGCUGAUUAGGAAACACAGGGUCCUUUUCUGGUGGUGUUUCCACAAGGGGCCGUUUGCGCCAUCUCGUGGUCGGAAAAGAUUCUACACUAGGUAGAAAGCCUAUAUUCUCCAUUCUUUCGUGUUCUUUGGUUUUUAUGAAAGUAAUACGUGCAUGUAUUUGAAGCAUCACGUUGUUAUAAGUAGUUUGAAAUGAAAAGAGUCAGGCCUCUUCUUCAAUCUCCCAGUCUCCAGAGGCCACCUCUUUCCUUUGGCCACUGGUUCCCCCGGGUUUUGCUGCAUAUCUCUAACCAACACACAGUAAUUCUACGUACUUCCAUUUUAAGGCCUAUUACUUUUUCAUUAUCGAAGGUGGAAGCUUAGCUCUCUUUUCUCCCUGGUUCUCCCGACCACACACCUGUGCCCUUCGACGUUCUCCUUCUGCACUGGAAUUAUUUCACAAUGUUGGUUGAGUACUCAGUUUGAAUAUUAUCAAUGUCCAUAAAAUUCUAUUCAUCGCUGAGCCACGCAGAAAACUCUCAUUUUUCUUAUCCUUUAGCUUCUAUUUUCAUCUCUUUGUAUUUUUGCUCCAUGUCUCAACUCUCUCAUCCAACGCUUUCCUUUGAGAUUUUUGUUUUUGCCAUCAUAUUUUAACUUCCAACAACUUUCCAUUUUUUAUUGUCAGGAAGUUCUUUUUUUUUUUUUUAAGUAGGAUCCUUUCUAUUUGAAGUUUUUGUUUUUUUCUUCCUUGAACAGAUUCUGUUUCCCCCAAGAUUUUUUUUUUGUGUGUGUGUGUGUGUGUGAGUUUGUUUUUUGUUCUGAUUUUCCUCAGUUAUCUAGUAACUUAGUAAGAGGAAGCUCUGGGCCUAUAGAAGGGACCUGACACCUGUCAGGCUCCCUGGAGGAUGCUCUGACUGAGCCAGUUCAUCACAGGACCUCUUGAUGCUGGACCUCCUUGAUGUUGGACCUCUUGAUGUUGGAUUCCUCAGAGAAUCACCUUCCUCAGAAACAUGGAAGUUAUUAGUCCCCAGUGCCCAUUUUAAAAGAAGAAACCAAGUCUUAAAGAUGUUGGUGAGAGAGACAGAGAGAGCCUCACAGAAGAUCUUCUGCUUCUACUAAGGAUCUACAGCACAAGAUGCUGGCAAUUUCCAGAGCCAGGGCUGUCUGCUGGAGUCAAGAGGCUGGUCUUCAUGAAUUCAUGAGCCUGUCACAGGUGCCCACCUCUUGCGCCUCCCCAAGCAUUCAACAUGACCACUUGGGGAAACUGAACUUAUUUGUCUUGUCUUCUGAUAUUUUGAGGUCACAUGUGAGGUGCCUGAGAAUCUGGAACAAAGCAUUUGAGAUGUGGAAGUGAAAAAGUCCAGGAAGAAACUGCAGGCCAGUGUGGCUGUGUGCAGAGGGAGGUCUCUCUCUCAAUCCCUUCUCUGUAGCUUUCCAAAAGUCCUGAGUGGGAUUCUCUGGCCCUACGACCUACCAGCUCCCUGCCUUGGACUUUUUUUUUUUUUUAAAUAAACAGAGGUAUUAGAGGACUGGGCCAUCCUAAGGGAGUGGUGAGUAGUCCUGCCUGAGCUCUUUGCAAUCCGGGGCACUGUAGUACUCAGGGAAAGUCUAAGUCAGACUCUCUUAACCAGUGACUACCCUUGGAGUAGAGACAUGGUCACCAACACCGUGUGGUGGAGGCCACUCAGCUUUAUCUAGCCCACCACCAAUGUGUGACUUGGUCUUGACCCUGGUAACGCUUCACCACAGAGAGACCUCCCAAAUAGAAAGUGACUCCUCUGCUUAUUUUUCCUAAGUGGCACAGUACAGUCAGCCCUCUGAAUCCACAGAUUCUGAGCCUGCAGAUCCAACUGAUCAUGGAUCCAACCAACUGUGGAUUGAGAACAGGAAGAACUUGCAGCUUUGCUAGGAUUGGCUGUUCUCACCUGGGUUGUCCACCAUACAUCUCUCACUCCCCAAGACCCAGAAUUUGAUUCUGCUUUGCAAAGUCCUGCCUGCUUUCCCUGCCCUCUCCCCCUGCACCUGCUCCAGGGGUCUUGUCCCCUAGAACCUGACACAUAUUCUCUUCAUUGUAUGUUUAGAAAUGUCAUGUUUUCCCCCAAAUCAGACAGGCAC